rnacentral:rRNA from 1 species
GACGGGGGGGCAAGUGUUCUUCGGAAUGACUGGGCGUAAAGGGCACGUAGGCGGUGAAUCGGGUUGAAAGUGAAAGUCGCCAAAAAGUGGCGGAAUGCUCUCGAAACCAAUUCACUUGAGUGAGACAGAGGAGAGUGGAAUUUCGUGUGUAGGGGUGAAAUCCGUAGAUCUACGAAGGAACGCCAAAAGCGAAGGCAGCUCUCUGGGUCCCUACCGACGCUGGGUGCGAAAGCAUGGGGAGCGAACAGGAUUAGAUACCCCUGUAGUCCGGACAAGCCUCCUGUCAC